GAUGAACGCUGGCGGCGUGCCUAAUACAUGCAAGUAGAACGCUGAAGGAGGAGCUUGCUCUUCUGGAAGAGUUGCGAACGGGUGAGUAACGCGUAGGUAACCUGCCUCUUAGCGGGGGAUAACUAUUGGAAACGAUAGCUAAUACCGCAUAAAAGUCGACAUUGCAUGAUGUUGACUUGAAAGGUGCAAUUGCAUCACUAAGAGAUGGACCUGCGUUGUAUUAGCUAGUUGGUGAGGUAACGGCUCACCAAGGCGACGAUACAUAGCCGACCUGAGGGGGUGAUCGGCCACACUGGGACUGAGACACGGCCCAGACUCCUACGGGAGGCAGCAGUAGGGAAUCUUCGGCAAUGGGGGCAACCCUGACCGAGCAACGCCGCGUGAGUGAAGAAGGUUUUCGGAUCGUAAAGCUCUGUUGUAAGAGAAGAACGAGUGUGAGAGUGGAAAGUUCACGCUGUGACAGUAUCUUACCAGAAAGG
rnacentral:rRNA from 1 species